rnacentral:rRNA from 1 species
UACGGAGGAUCCAAGCGUUAUCCGGAUUUAUUGGGUUUAAAGGGUGCGUAGGCGGCCUGUUAAGUCAGGGGUGAAAGACGGUAGCUCAACUAUCGCAGUGCCCUUGAUACUGAUGGGCUUGAAUUGACUAGAGGUAGGCGGAAUGUGACAAGUAGCGGUGAAAUGCAUAGAUAUGUCACAGAACACCGAUUGCGAAGGCAGCUUACUAUGGUCUUAUUGACGCUGAGGCACGAAAGCGUGGGGAGCGAACGG